AUACGGAGGAUGCGAGCGUUAUCCGGAUUUAUUGGGUUUAAAGGGAGCGUAGGCGGGAGCUUAAGUCAGCGGUUAAAUGGUGCGGCUCAACCGUGCCCUGCCGUUGCAACUGGGUUUCUUGAGAGUGCAAGAGGCGGAUGGAAUUCAGUGUGUAGCGGUGAAAUGCUUAGAUAUCAUGAAGAACUCCGAUUGCGAAGGCAGUCCGCUGGGGCACGUCUGACGCUGAUGCUCGAAGGUGCGGGAAUCAAACAGGAUUAGAUACCCUGGUAGUCCGCACGGUAAACGAUGAUUACCCGCUGUCGGCGGUAGACAGUCGGCGGCCAAGCGAAAGCGAUAAGUAAUCCACCUGGGGAGUACGCCGGCAACGGUGAAACUUAAAGGAA
rnacentral:rRNA from 1 species